rnacentral:lncRNA from 8 species
CUCACCAUGAGAAGCAGGAUAUAAAGCUGAAUACCAUGCAGGUUCCAAAUAACACCUUCAUCAGAAAGUUUGAUGACUCAUAGAAACAGAAAGACCAAUUUAACACAUCUAAAUGAAUAAGGCCAGAUGCCUGAAAUAUGCAGGCCUAUUCUGUGACUGUGUCUGCCCGAACUAUGUCUGUUCUACCUCCACCCAGUCAGCUAAAUGGAGGCACUUGUUUAAUGCUGUGACUAUGAUCAGAUUUACAACCUCUAUAGUCUCUUUAUUAUUUACCUGUUUGUAAUGGAAUUCCAUAAAUACGAGUGUAUGAGUGAUCGAUUAUUUUUUUUAACAUGUUGCCACAAUUCCUGCAACUUCAAUUCGUUCAUCAUGACGCUAUCAGGUGCGGGUUUGGGAAAUCCCGGAUUGUAAUAACGCAUUUAUCAUUGACGGUCUACACCUUUAAGACGUCGAAACUGUGCGUACUGGGAGUGGGCAUAUGUUCAACUGUAAAAUCACAACAACACAUCGCAAUGGGGAGUAUGUGAAGAGGACUCUCUGCAAUGACCACUAGUUAUAGAAAAGGUUUGAAAUAAUGUACACCAAUAUUUUACCAGAGUAGCUGAAAAGUGAAUCAUUCUGAAACCAUAUUGAUGGUGAAAUGCAUUUGGGAUAAGUUUUGCGCAAUGGUCGAGCAAGCGUCUUGGUCUGCAGACGUCAACAAAUUUAGUGUGACAGUUUCAAAGGCUGAUAUUUUUCGUUUUGAUUUGCCUCUAGAAUGUUGUAAUUUAAUAGUCUGACAUUUAUGGAAAGAAAUGUGUUGUGGAUCAGCAGGGAUACUGUGCCGGUAAAGUGUGAAAUAUGUAUUCAGUUGAUUUUCAUGAGUUUUGUUAUCUACCACAUUCUCCAUUUUAACUACGUCUUUAGCCAAGAACAACGACAUUUAUCUCAUCAACACUAAAAUAUCUGCCGGUAUCCUGCAUGCUGUACUGUUGUGGAAGCAAGGACAAGGAGAAGCAGCGCUCAGACGCUGCUGAUGUGUCGAGAAUUCUAGAGACAGAGAAAAACCGAAAGAACCGUGAAAGCGCAUCUCAACCAGUGGAAAUGUACGGAAUAGCGGGAAUACCCGAGUUUCUACCCCCCUCUGGCGUACUCCAGCCCAGCUCAGUAAUCCCACUCGAGUCUGGUGAGGUGCCUGGUUUGGGGAGUCGAUUCAACAGGGGUGUGCUGAGCUCUGACUCCCCCCAGCGGAGACGAGGCCAACGGGCCCCGAAGCUAGGGCAAAUAGGACGGUCGAAGAGAGUGGUGAUAGAGGAUGAGGACUUGGAUGACGUCAUGAACAACAAUGGCCUCCCCAUAUCAAUCAAUAUCUCUCCUGUUGCCUGAACACUGUCAGACUGUCCAGACCUCAAGAAGCUAUCGUGCUCAUUUGUGAAAUUCUGAAGCGAAUACCACUUGUUCCGGACCAUACCCAGUUCAGGUGCCCAUUGCAAAGUUUACAAUAGCAGCAUGCGCAUCACCUGUAGUUUAGCUCUUCCUGGGGGGAAGGUGGGUGUCCCAAGGAAGUAGAGAGAACACGGUGCAUCUCUGCUGCUGUUCUGGUUUUCAACAGGAGGGGAGCAAGUUGGAUAGAUUUGGAGCCAGACAGGCUGAAACAUAAGCACAUACGAGAAGGCCCUACCCAUCAAGACCUGCCCCUUAAAAAUGAGUUGACCUAUGCCUUUUCAUUGUUUCACAUAUUAUGUUGACAAAUACACUUUAUUUUAGCCUUUGAUGGUCGACAACACUGUCUCGUUUUGGUGCAAAUGAAGUGUCUGUAAAAUCUGUUCUAAAACAUGAUAGAUAGAUAGAUACACUGUAGACUUUCAUUUGUCAUGCAUGUCCUAAUUAGAAGCUUAGUAGGCCUAUACCCUGCCUGUGUUGUAAUGUAGUUUAUUUUUUACCCUUGAGCUCCUAGACGAAGGAGUUCUCACUGUGAACUAGUGAACUUCAAUGUAUCCCUGAAUAGAGGUGUAAAGACACCUUUUUUUUUUUUUUUAGAAUUAGCUUCUUGUCCAAUGUCCUUCACCAAUCACCAUAAUAAUCUAAUCUGGUCUAAAAAAAAAAAUCAUAUGACAUUCAGACAAGUUGCCUACCUCUGCUCUUGGUGUAUCAUUCAUUUUGGUGGUUCAUGUAAAACCCAGUUACGAAUCAGAACGAUGAAGUAGAUCGCAACACGGAGGAGAAGUUCGGUAUUUGGUGUAUGACUGAAGGAGCUGUGAGGAAUACAUUGUUUUAAUAUGGAACCAUUGGUCAGUUUGGCUCAGACUUUUUCCCGAUAGCUGUAAAGUUAUACAAUUAUUAUCACUAAAAGGGUUAGGACUACUUCAACUCCAGUUACAGUAAUUCAAUUCUCAUUAAAACAAAAAUAAAUUAUAUGCUUGAACUGAUACUAAAGUGGGUGUUUUUUUUUACACUUUGUAUGAAAGAGUCUGAUAAGUGGCAUGUAUUAUUGUAAAACCUUGAUUAUACUUCUUGGAAUGUGAUAUGCUGUUGUACAGUGAGAGUACCACCAGAUGGUGAUAAAGUCAAAGGAACACAGUGCUCUGCCCAGAACUUUUGUCUCACUCAACUAGUACAGACUUGUAAUUCAUUUGGAAUAAAACCUGUUUGGGUAGUCUUUGGAAAUGAACCUAUUUUUGGGUAGUCUUUGGAAAUGAACCUAAGUCACAAGAUCACUGUUGAAGACAAUGAGAACAUUUUUGGUUUGAGGAGAAGUGUUAUUUUGGUAGGCAACAUGUAGAUCUGAGAGAACUUUGUGGAUGUACCCUUCCCUAC